AUUGAACGCUGGCGGCAUGCUUUACACAUGCAAGUCGAACGGCAGCGCGGGCUUCGGCCUGGCGGCGAGUGGCGAACGGGUGAGUAAUGCAUCGGAACGGGCCCAGUAGUGGGGGAUAGCCCGGCGAAAGCCGGAUUAAUACCGCAUACGACCUGAGGGUGAAAGCGGGGGACCGAAAGGCCUCGCGCUAUUGGAGCGGCCGAUGUCGGAUUAGCUAGGUGGUGGGGUAAAGGCUUACCAAGGCGACGAUCCGUAGCUGGUCUGAGAGGACGACCAGCCACACUGCGACUGCGACACGGCCCAGACUCCUACGGGAGGCAGCAGUGGGGAAUUUUGGACCAUGGGGGCAACCCUGCUCCAGCCAUGCCGCGUGCGGGAAGAAGGCCUUCUGGUUGUAAACCGCUUUUGUUCGGGAAGAAAUCCUCUGGGCUAAUACCCCGGGGGGAUGACGGUACCGGAAGAAUAAGCACCGGCUAACUACGUG
rnacentral:rRNA from 1 species